UACGAACUGUGCGAACGUUAUUCGGAAUCACUGGGCUUACAGGGUGCGUAGGCGGCUUGUUAAGUAGGGUGUGAAAGCCCCCGGCUCAACCGGGGAAUUGCGCCCUAAACUGGCGAGCUGGAGUGAGAUAGGGGUGUGUGGAACUUCCGGUGGAGCGGUGAAAUGUGUUGAUAUCGGGAGGAACACCAGUGGCGAAGGCGGCGAUCUGGGAAGAUACUGACGCUGAGGUGCGAAAGCGUGGGGAGCAAACAGG
rnacentral:rRNA from 1 species